AUUGAACGCUGGCGGCAGGCCUAACACAUGCAAGUCGAACGAGUGGCGGACGGGUGAGUAAUGUCUGGGAAACUAGCUUAUGGAGGGGGAUAACUACGGGAAACUGUAGCUAAUACCGCGUACCAUAGGAUGAGCCCAAGUGGGAUUAGGUAGUUGGUGGGGUAAAGGCUCACCAAGCCGACGAUCCCUAGCUGGUCUGAGAGGAUGACCAGCCACACUGGAACUGAGACACGGUCCAGACUCCUACGGGAGGCAGCAGUGGGGAAUAUUGCACAAUGGGCGCAACCCUGACGCAGCCAUGCCGCGUGAAUGAAGAAGGCCUUCGGGUUGUAAAGUUCUUUCAGUGGGGAGGCGUUAACCGCAGAAGAAGCACCGGCUAACUCCGUGCCAGCCGCCGCGGUAAUAC
rnacentral:rRNA from 1 species